CAAAAUUGGGCCCUCACAAUACAGUGCAUAGAUUGACUACAUCAAGAGUAUUAGUUCAUGAAGAACAGGUGAGUGGAGGUGAAAGGCUCAGCAGCAAGAACCACUAGAGCAGCAGGGGCGGCAGCAGGUGGACACACAGCAGCUGGGGCGGCAGCACUGAGUUCUACAGCAGGUGGUCUGGCAGCAGAUGGGCCUGCAGCAGCUGGAGAUGCAGCAGGUGGGGUGGCAGCAGGCGG